AACGAACGUUGGCGGCGUGGAUUAGGCAUGCAAGUCGAGCGAAUCCCAGCAAUGGGGGAAGCGGCGAAAGGGGCAGUAAGGCAUGGGUAACCUACCCUGGGGACUGGGAUAGCCCUUCGAGAGAAGGGAUAAUACCGGGCGACGUGUCGGGCCGGCAUCGGUCUGCCACCAAAUGAAUUUCGCCCUGGGAGGGGCCCAUGUGAUAUUAGCUAGUUGGUGGGGUAACGGCCCACCAAGGCGAAGAUGUCUAGCGGGUGUGAGAGCACGACCCGCGCCACUGGAACUGAGACACUGGCCAGACACCUACGGGUGGCUGCAGUCGAGGAUCUUCGGCAAUGGGCGCAAGCCUGACCGAGCGACGCCGCGUGUGCGAUGAAGGCCUUCGGGUUGUAAAGCACUGUCGAGAGGGAGAAAAGCGCAAGCUUGAUCUAUCUCUGGAGGAAGCACGGGCUAAGUUCGUGCCAGCCGCCGCCGUAAGAC
rnacentral:rRNA from 1 species